AGAACGAACGCUGGCGGCAUGCCUAAUACAUGCAAGUCGAACGAAGGCUUCGGCCUUAGUGGCGCACGGGUGCGUAACGCGUGGGAAUCUGCCCCUUGGUUCGGAAUAGCAGUUGGAAACGACUGCUAAUACCGGAUGAUGACGAAAGUCCAAAGAUUUAUCGCCAAGGGAUGAGCCCGCGUAGGAUUAGCUAGUUGGUGAGGUAAAGGCUCACCAAGGCGACGAUCCUUAGCUGGUCUGAGAGGAUGAUCAGCCACACUGGGACUGAGACACGGCCCAGACUCCUACGGGA
rnacentral:rRNA from 1 species